CUCGAGUGGCGAACGGGUGAGUAACACGUGGGUGAUCUGCCCUGCACUUUGGGAUAAGCCUGGGAAACUGGGUCUAAUACCGAAUAGGACCGCAUGCUUCAUGGUGUGUGGUGGAAAGCUUUGCGGUGUGGGAUGGGCCCGCGGCCUAUCAGCUUGUUGGUGGGGUAAUGGCCUACCAAGGCGACGACGGGUAGCCGGCCUGAGAGGGUGUCCGGCCACACUGGGACUGAGAUACGGCCCAG
rnacentral:rRNA from 1 species